UGCCUGAUGCCACUGUUAGCCACGAGCAUUGAGCAGUGAUGCUAUGAUUAGGCCGAUACAAAGCUGAUUCUGGCGUUUCACAUGUUGAAUUGUUAAUACGAAUCUAGGGACUCCUCUUUCAUCGGUCCACAAAGCCGUUUUCUGUGACUACGUUA
rnacentral:snoRNA from 1 species